rnacentral:lncRNA from 1 species
CACUAUCAAAAUUUUCUAAAUAUAUAUGUGUCAUGUAAACUGAUAAUAUCCUCAAUUUAUUACGAAUAACGCUUCAUGCAAACAGCUAACUACAUCCAUGGAGUGUCAUGCAUACACCAAUAGCCAGAAAAUCAUACUACUGGUUAAUAUCCGACUUUGCUAAAACAUAGAGUCCAUUGGUAAUGGGAAAUGAGAAAUAAUACAGGACCCAAAAAACAAAGUUCCCAACAAUCUUCUCAUCUAGACAGCAGCAUGCAUUAUACUAAUUAAGCCAAGUUUCAUGAAACUGUGAAGCUGGUGGUAUCACUCGGCCUUCAAUGAUGUGGCAAUGUCGAUCACAAACCGGUAUUUAACAUCAGAUUUCACAAGGCGAUCCAUUGCAGUGUUGAUGUAAUCAAUAGGG